rnacentral:lncRNA from 1 species
ACUGAUGCUUCAUGUGACCUGAUUUUCCAUACUCAUAGCAUGUAAAGCCUUCUUUGGGAAUCUUGCUUUUCUUGGUUGAGUUCUUGGCUUCUUUCUUUAGAUUAUUGAUCCCUCCUUUCUUCUUGAGAUACUUCUUGAAUUUUUCAAAUAGGAGAGUUAAGUCUUCAUCGGAAUCAGAAUAUGAACUAGAAUCCUCACUUUC